rnacentral:rRNA from 1 species
GUAGGGAAUCUUCCACAAUGGGCGAAAGCCUGAUGGAGCAACGCCGCGUGAGUGAAGAAGGUUUUCGGAUCGUAAAACUCUGUUGUAAGGGAAGAACAAGUACAGUAGUAACUGGCUGUACCUUGACGGUACCUUAUUAGAAAGCCACGGCUAACUACGUGCCAGCAGCCGCGGUAAUACGUAGGUGGCAAGCGUUGUCCGGAAUUAUUGGGCGUAAAGCGCGCGCAGGCGGUCCUUUAAGUCUGAUGUGAAAGCCCACGGCUCAACCGUGGAGGGUCAUUGGAAACUGGGGGACUUGAGUGCAGAAGAGGAAAGUGGAAUUCCAAGUGUAGCGGUGAAAUGCGUAGAGAUUUGGAGGAACACCAGUGGCGAAGGCGACUUUCUGGUCUGUAACUGACGCUGAGGCGCGAAAGCGUGGGGAGCAAACAGG